rnacentral:rRNA from 1 species
AAAUUUGAAAUCUGGCGCAAGCCCGAGUUGUAAUUUGUAGAGGAUGCUUCUGGCCAGCGGCCGUUCUAAGUUCCUUGGAACAGGACGUCAUAGAGGGUGAGAAUCCCGUAUGUGACCGGCGCGCAGCCUUUACGUAGCUCCUUCGACGAGUCGAGUUGUUUGGGAAUGCAGCUCUAAAUGGGAGGUAAAUUUCUUCUAAAGCUAAAUACCGGCCAGAGACCGAUAGCGCACAAGUAGAGUGAUCGAAAGAUGAAAAGCACUUUGGAAAGAGAGUUAAAAAGCACGUGAAAUUGUUGAAAGGGAAGCGCUUGCAACCAGACUUCGUAGCGGUGUUCCGCCGGUCUUCUGACCGGUCUACUCAUCGUCGCGAGGCCAACAUCGUCUGGGACCGCUGGAUAAGACCUAAGGAAUGUAGCUUCCCUCGGGAAGUGUUAUAGCCUGUGGUGAUGCAGCGUGUCUCGGGCGAGGUCCGCGCUUCGGCAAGGAUGUUGGCGUAAUGGUUGUCAGCGGCCCGUCUUGAAACACGGACCAAGGAGUCUAACAUCUAUGCGAGUGUUCGGGUGUCAAACCCCUACGCGUAAUGAAAGUGAACGGAGGUGGGAAGCGCAAGCUGCACCAUCGACCGAUCCUGAUGUCCUCGGAUGGAUUUGAGUAAGAGCAUAGCUGUUGGGACCCGAAAGAUGGUGAACUAUGCCUGAAUAGGGUGAAGCCAGAGGAAACUCUGG